GUGGGGAAUAUUGGACAAUGGGCGAAAGCCUGAUCCAGCCAUGCCGCGUGUGUGAAGAAGGUCUUCGGAUUGUAAAGCACUUUAAGUUGGGAGGAAGGGCAGUAAGUUAAUACCUUGCUGUUUUGACGUUACCGACAGAAUAAGCACCGGCUAACUUCGUGCCAGCAGCCGCGGUAAUACGAAGGGUGCAAGCGUUAAUCGGAAUUACUGGGCGUAAAGCGCGAGUAGGUGGUUUGGUAAGUUGGAGGUGAAAUCCCCGGGCUCAACCUGGGAACUGACUCCAAAACUGCAUGACUAGAGUACGGUAGAGGGUAGUGGAAUUUCCUGUGUAGCGGUGAAAUGCGUAGAUAUAGGAAGGAACACCAGUGGCGAAGGCGACUACCUGGACUGAUACUGACACUGAGGUGCGAAAGCGUGGGGAGCAAACAGGAUUAGAAACCCGGGUAGUCC
rnacentral:rRNA from 1 species